CUUUGAAGACUCAACGGCUCACUCUUUAGUGAACAGCGCUGUUUCUCUGCAGUUUAGCUGAAAGAGUGCACGUGCCAUUUAUGCUAGAUCAGAGGAGCUAACAGAAGCAGGAAAAAACCUUCCUGGCUGUUUGACUGCCAGGGUGGUGAUUUCAUAAUUAAAGAGACACUAUAGUCACUAUAGUUUCCUAUGGGAAAGCAUUGGAUUGGCAAAAAAUAGGAAGUUAUGAUGAUGACAACAAGGAGGUGGAUCAGAGGAUUAUACGGUAUGUUUUAACCACUUAUAAUGGCCACUGAAAUGGCUGUUUUAACACUGUAGAUUCAUUAAUA